UACGUCCACGUCCACAGAGUUUGCUGCUCAUUUUACAAAGCUGUUUACUACGACCUAAAAACGUUAAAAUCAUAAAUAUAUUGUCGUAGGUUAUUGUACAAUAAAUAUUCUACAUUAAAUGAAUAUAAAAAGUCAAUUUUGGAGGCUUUAUCACGGCAGAACGUCGAAGUUCAGUUCACCUCACUUGCACGUCUUUGGACUGUUGGAGGAAACCGGCGCAUCCGCAGGAAACCCACACAGACACGGGGAGAACAUGCAAACUCCACACAGAAAGGACCCGGACCUUCUUGCUGUGAGGCGACCGUGCCGCCCCCUGUAUGGUAGAGCACAGACUGCACAGACGGUGUCAGAUGCCUCCCCAUGGUUACCUUGUAUGAGGUGGAGCAAGGUAGCUCAGAGGUCUAUCUUUAGUCGGGCGGGGCUGGAGCUUGUUGAAAGCAGAUGUAUUGUUGUACCAAGUAGUAUUCCAAAUUAGCGUUUAUUGAUGUACAUUAUUACUAUGUGUAUAUAAUGAAAAUGUAUAGGGAUGUAACGAUACACUCUACCCACGAUGCGAUGCGAUUCACGAUACUGGAUUCACUGUACGAUUUUUUUCCUGAUUUUUUUAAACAAAAUGAAAUUGAAGACAAAU